UUAAGUUAAUAAGGGCGCACGGUGGAUGCCUUGGCACUAGGAGCCGACGAAGGACGUGACAAACGACGAUAUGCCUUGGGUAGCUGUAAGUAAGCGAUGAUCCAGGGAUUUCCGAAUGGGGGAACCCAACAGGUAAUACCUGUUACCUACAUCUGUUAAGGAUGUGAGGAGGAAGACGCAGUGAACUGAAACAUCUAAGUAGCUGCAGGAAGAGAAAGCAAAAGCGAUUGCCUUAGUAGCGGCGAGCGAAACGGCAGAAGGGCAAACCGAAGAGUUUACUCUUCGGGGUUGUAGGACUGCAAUGUGGACUCAAAGAUUAUAGAAGAAUGAUUUGGGAAGAUCAGCCAAAGAGAGUAAUAGCCUCGUAUUUAAAAUAGUCUUUGUACUUAGCAGUAUCCUGAGUACGGCGGGACACGUGAAAUCCCGUCGGAAUCUGGGAGGACCAUCUCCCAACCCUAAAUACUCCCUAGUGACCGAUAGUGAACCAGUACCGUGAGGGAAAGGUGAAAAGCACCCCGGGAGGGGAGUGAAAUAGAACCUGAAACCGUGUGCCUACAACAAGUUCGAGCCCGUUAAUGGGUGAGAGCGUGCCUUUUGUAGAAUGAACCGGCGAGUUACGUUAUGAUGCGAGGUUAAGUUGAAGAGACGGAGCCGUAGGGAAACCGAGUCUGAAUAGGGCGCCUUAGUAUCAUGACGUAGACCCGAAACCAUGUGACCUACCCAUGAGCAGGUUGAAGGUGCGGUAAGACGCACUGGAGGACCGAACCAGGGCACGUUGAAAAGUGCUUGGAUGACUUGUGGGUAGCGGAGAAAUUCCAAACGAACUUGGAGAUAGCUGGUUCUCUCCGAAAUAGCUUUAGGGCUAGCGUCGACAUUAGAGAUUCUUGGAGGUAGAGCACUGUUUGGGUGAGGGGUCCAUCCCGGAUUACCAAUCUCAGAUAAACUCCGAAUGCCAAUGAAUUAUGGUCGGCAGUCAGACUGCGAGUGCUAAGAUCCGUAGUCGAAAGGGAAACAGCCCAGACCACCAGCUAAGGUCCCAAAAUAAUUGUUAAGUGGAAAAGGAUGUGGGGUUGCACAGACAACUAGGAUGUUAGCUUAGAAGCAGCUAUUCAUUCAAAGAGUGCGUAAUAGCUCACUAGUCGAGUGACCCUGCGCCGAAAAUGUACCGGGGCUAAAACAAUUUACCGAAGCUGUGGAUACCUUUAUAGGUAUGGUAGGAGAGCGUUCUAUGUGUGAUGAAGGUAUACCGUGAGGAGUGCUGGAACGCAUAGAAGUGAGAAUGCCGGUAUGAGUAGCGAAAGACAGGUGAGAAUCCUGUCCACCGUAAGACUAAGGUUUCCAGGGGAAGGCUCGUCCGCCCUGGGUUAGUCGGGACCUAAGGAGAGACCGAAAGGUGUAUCCGAUGGACAACAGGUUGAUAUUCCUGUACUAGAGUAUGUAGUGAUGGAGGGACGCAGUAGGCUAACUAAAGCAGACGAUUGGAAGAGUCUGUCUAAGCAGUGAGGUGUGAAUUGAGUCAAAUGCUUAAUUCUAUAACAUUGAGCUGUGAUGGGGAGCGAAGUUUAGUAGCGAAGUUAGUGACGUCACACUGCCAAGAAAAGCUUCUAGCGUUUAAACAUACUCUACCCGUACCGCAAACCGACACAGGUAGUCGAGGCGAGUAGCCUCAGGUGAGCGAGAGAACUCUCGUUAAGGAACUCGGCAAAAUGACCCCGUAACUUCGGGAGAAGGGGUGCUGACUUAAAGUCAGCCGCAGUGAAUAGGCCCAAGCAACUGUUUAUCAAAAACACAGCUCUCUGCUAAAUCGUAAGAUGAUGUAUAGGGGGUGACGCCUGCCCGGUGCUGGAAGGUUAAGAGGAGUGCUUAGCGUAAGCGAAGGUAUGAAUUGAAGCCCCAGUAAACGGCGGCCGUAACUAUAACGGUCCUAAGGUAGCGAAAUUCCUUGUCGGGUAAGUUCCGACCCGCACGAAAGGCGUAAUGAUUUGGGCACUGUCUCAACGAGAGACUCGGUGAAAUUUUAGUACCUGUGAAGAUGCAGGUUACCCGCGACAGGACGGAAAGACCCCAUGGAGCUUUACUGCAGUUUGAUAUUGAGUGUCUGUACCACAUGUACAGGAUAGGUAGGAGUCUAAGAGAUCGGGACGCCAGUUUCGAAGGAGACGCUGUUGGGAUACUACCCUUGUGUUAUGGCCACUCUAACCCAGAUAGGUGAUCCCUAUCGGAGACAGUGUCUGACGGGCAGUUUGACUGGGGCGGUCGCCUCCUAAAAGGUAACGGAGGCGCCCAAAGGUUCCCUCAGAAUGGUUGGAAAUCAUUCGCAGAGUGUAAAGGUAUAAGGGAGCUUGACUGCGAGAGCUACAACUCGAGCAGGGACGAAAGUCGGGCUUAGUGAUCCGGUGGUUCCGUAUGGAAGGGCCAUCGCUCAACGGAUAAAAGCUACCCUGGGGAUAACAGGCUUAUCUCCCCNNNNNNNNNNNNNNNNNNNNNNNNNNNNNNNNNNNNNNNNNNNNNNNNNNNNNNAAGAGUUCACAUCGACGGGGAGGUUUGGCACCUCGAUGUCGGCUCGUCGCAUCCUGGGGCUGUAGUCGGUCCCAAGGGUUGGGCUGUUCGCCCAUUAAAGCGGCACGCGAGCUGGGUUCAGAACGUCGUGAGACAGUUCGGUCCCUAUCCGUCGCGGGCGUAGGAAAUUUGAGAGGAUCUGCUCCUAGUACGAGAGGACCAGAGUGGACUUACCGCUGGUGUACCAGUUGUCUUGCCAAAGGCAUCGCUGGGUAGCUAUGUAGGGAAGGGAUAAACGCUGAAAGCAUCUAAGUGUGAAACCCACCUCAAGAUGAGAUUUCCCAUGAUUAUAUAUCAGUAAGAGCCCUGAGAGAUGAUCAGGUAGAUAGGUUAGAAGUGGAAGUGUGGCGACACAUGUAGCGGACUAAUACUAAUAGCUCGAGGACUUAUCCAA
rnacentral:rRNA from 1 species